GAUGGAGUUGGCUGGUCAACUUGAACA
rnacentral:piRNA from 1 species